AUUGAACGCUGGCGGCGUGCUUAACACACGCAAGUCGACCGGUAACGCGGGGGCAACCCUGGCGACGUGAGGCGGACGGGUGAGGAACGCUUGGGAAUCUGCCUAUCAGCGGGGGACAACACGGGGAAACUCGUGCUAAUACCGCGUACGCUUUACGGAGGAAAGCCGGGGACCGACAGGCCUGGCACUGAUAGAUGAGCACAAGCCGGCUGAGCUAGUUGGCGGGGUAACGGCCCACCAACGCGACGAUCCGUAGCUGGUCUGAGGACGAUCAGCCACACUGGGACUGAGACACGGCACAGACUCCUACGGGAGGCAGCAGUGGGGAAUAUUGGCCAAGGGGGGAAACCCUGAUCCAGCGACGCCGGGUGGGUGAAGAAGGCCUGCGGGUUGUAAAGCCCGUUCGGUAGGGACGAAAGCUCUCGACCUAACACGUCGGGAGGUUGACUUAACCUACAAAAGAAGCACCGGCUAACUCUGUGCCAGCAGCCGCGGUAAUAC
rnacentral:rRNA from 1 species